AAAAAAGAGGACACCGGUACCCCCUCCCAACUUUCUCGUGCUCUCUCCCUCUCCCUCCUCUUUCCUUCUCUCCUUAAGUACGUGGGGCUGGAAAGUGUAAUUAAUACAAGAAAUCAAAUAACUAUCCACCAUAUCUUUUUGGAGAGGUCUAAUUGGUGGAGUUUCACUAGAUAUAAUUAACCAAGAAUUCCAACAGCCAAAAUAUGAUCUGUUGAAAGAGAGCCUUUUGCUUCUUCUUUUUUUAUGCCUUUUAUUUUUAUUCUGUUGACUUUUGAUUUUAUCUGCUUUAAUUUUAGCUUGUAAUUAUAAAGUUUUAUUUGCGGGGAUCCUAGUUGGCACUUUGACCUGAGAUAGCAAGAUUCAAGCCUUGACCUAUCAAUGGAUUUAUUUUGCUACAACAUUUAUUUGUUAUGUUAGUAUAUUUUUCUACAAUGUUGGUCAAAUUUUAAUAUUUUUAACUUAGGAAUCUUAUAUUUGAAACGGAGGGAGUAGCAAAUUAGUUUAUGGGUGAAUAACAAGCUAUGGGCUGGCACGCAUGUGCAUUUAUUUGGUAUUCCCUAUGUCCUAUUUUAGUAGGCUUAUUUCAUUAUUUUUUUUGACUAAGUGUUUUACCAAAACUUACUCUUGC
rnacentral:lncRNA from 1 species